UACGUAGGGUGCAAGCGUUAAUCGGAAUUACUGGGCGUAAAGCGUGCGCAGGCGGUUAUGUAAGACAGAUGUGAAAUCCCCGGGCUCAACCUGGGAACUGCAUUUGUGACUGCAUAGCUAGAGUACGGUAGAGGGGGGAUGGAAUUCCGCGUGUAGCAGUGAAAUGCGUAGAUAUGCGGAGGAACACCGAUGGCGAAGGCAAUCCCCCUGGACCUGUACUGACGCUCAUGCACGAAAAGCGUGGGGGAGCAAACAGG
rnacentral:rRNA from 1 species